rnacentral:rRNA from 1 species
GUCUACGGCCAUACCACUCUGAACGCGCCCGAUCUUGUCAGAUCUCAGAAGCUAAGCAGGGUUGGACCUGGUUAGUACUUGGAUGGGAGAAAGCUCACUCGAUACG